CCUACGGGUGGCUGCAGUGGGGAAUAUUGGACAAUGGGCGAAAGCCUGAUCCAGCCAUGCCGCGUGUGUGAAGAAGGCCUUCGGGUUGUAAAGCACUUUCAGUGGGGAAGAAAGCCUUGGGGCUAAUACCCUCGAGGAAGGACAUCACCCACAGAAGAAGCACCGGCUAACUCCGUGCCAGCAGCCGCGGUAAUACGGAGGGUGCGAGCGUUAAUCGGAAUUACUGGGCGUAAAGCGCGCGUAGGCGGUCUGAUAAGCCGGUUGUGAAAGCCCCGGGCUCAACCUGGGAACGGCAUCCGGAACUGUCAGGCUAGAGUGCAGGAGAGGAAGGUAGAAUUCCCGGUGUAGCGGUGAAAUGCGUAGAGAUCGGGAGGAAUACCAGUGGCGAAGGCGGUCUUCUGGAUUGACACUGACGCUGAGGUGCGAAAGCGUGGGUAGCAAACAGGAUUAGAUACCCGAGUAGUC
rnacentral:rRNA from 1 species